GACGUAGGGCGCAAGCGUUGUCCGGAUUUAUUGGGCGUAAAGAGCUCGUAGGCGGUUUGUCGCGUCUGCUGUGAAAACUGGAGGCUCAACCUCCAGCCUGCAGUGGGUACGGGCAAACUAGAGUGCGGUAGGGGAGAUUGGAAUUCCUGGUGUAGCGGUGGAAUGCGCAGAUAUCAGGAGGAACACCGAUGGCGAAGGCAGGUCUCUGGGCCACUACUGACGCUGAGAAGCGAAAGCAUGGGGAGCGAACAGG
rnacentral:rRNA from 1 species